UUGGGAGCUCACUUGCUUCGAAGUUAUGAGAACUCCGAAGUUAAGCCAGUUUGGGCUAGAGCAAUCCUAGGAUAGGUGACUCACUGGGAAGUUGCUUGUGAGCUCCCAGA
rnacentral:rRNA from 1 species